rnacentral:ncRNA from 2 species
AACGGCCACUGGGGGUGCCGGUCAAAACCGGCUGAGAGGGAGAGUUCUCCCAACCCUUUGAACCUGAUCCGGGUAAUACCGGCGUAGGGAAAGUGGGGUAACUGGAAG